CUUGGAACUCGCCUGCAACGGGACAAAGCCAUCUCACCUAGACUGUUGUUAUGAAGAUUGAAUUAGGUGAUUCUGAGAGGCAUUUAUGCGUCCUCCCUGAGUAACAAUCCAUGAAAAGUGGGCGUCAUUGCUGAAGCUCAAGGAAGAAAUAUGAAAUUUGAUUAUAUCCUUAUUCACGGCAUUGGGUCACCAACUCAGCACUUUUUAUGAAAGUAGCAUCUGACCUGGCAAAGGCUGUGUCAUCUUAUUACCUCAGAAAGACAAAUUUACGGGGUCAGACGAUGGAUGGCUUGUAGAUUUCUCAAUGGGCUGGAAGGAAGGAGAGAAAAAGAGAGACAGGAGAGAGUACACAUUUAAUUCUGCUUCCCCUAGGGUGAUAUUUCCUUCCUCCCCUUCCAGGGUUCUCAAAAAGGCAUUCUAGGAAGUCCUGUAAAAUACAUGCUCAUAAAAAUCUCAUAAUUUCCACAAAUUGUUGAGAAUUUAAAACUCGGUUGGGAGUUUGCUGUUUCAGCCUGAGACACCGGGGUCACGUUUCAGUGCCUGCAGUCUUGAGACAGUACCAGGCAUCUGGGAUGAAGCUGAGGAAAGAAGAUGUGGGGGCCCUGCUGGCCUGCUCCUUCUCUCGAAAGACGCUUACCGGCUGCUGGUGUGUCACAGGGCUUUAGGAUUUGGAAAAACAGAGGGAUUUAAAAGAAGAUAGAAUGGUCAGAAUUUCGAGAACUGUGUGCUGAAGUGCCAUCUUUAGGGUGCUCAUAACACGGCCUUACAACAUUAGAGGUGCUGGAAUCAUGGAAGAGGCAUCUGGACUCUGUAAUGUCCUUCCCCCUGGAAAAUCUGCUCCAGAAGUGGGGGAUUGGGAGCUGUCAACAUAUGAGCCAUCUUUUGCUCCGUUCAAGAUGGUAGGGGCAUUCUCAACAUGCCCCUCACUCUGAUUCUGCCUCACUUUUAUUUUAGAAUUUUCCACUGCCUUUUCUGGAAUGUGCUUUUUCAACCCUCAAAAUCUGUAGAGAAGAAAUAAGCAGAAACCGAAAUGGCUUUCUGGUGUUCUCCAUGCUCUCAGCUUACUGGAAAAUCGAGCCGCAGGCUCGAGGCUGGACUUUAAGGCAGAGCACUGCAAUUAUAGUGCUAUGGCCUUGGCUUCCUUUCUCAUCACCCAGGUACAGUCCUGCAGUCCUCAGAGGAUGCCAGUCCCACACAGGGGGAUCCUUCUCCAUAGGAAAACCGAGGAACAAUGCAGGUUCGAGGUGCACAGUGGCUAAGCACACUCAGUCCUCAAGAUCUUUCCUCUCAAAUGCUAAUGCUACCUUCAGAUGGGCUGCUGCCUGCUACCAUUUCAACAUUGAGUCCUUUAAGAUGCCAUCAGAGAGAGGGGAAGCAAGAGGCCAAGAAAAAUGAAAGUUACUGUUCUUCAAGUGAGGGCGAAGCGCUUCUCUUCUCCUCUCUGAUAGCUCUGCAGCUCUCUAAGUAAACUCUUUGACAAACACAUCGCAGCAGCGAGUGGAAACAUGUCUGAGACGCUGCAGCAUAGCCCGGCUGGUUCUGUUCUUAGCAGUAUUUGCUAAGUUCCAUCCAUUAGAAUGUUUUUAAACAAUGGGACGCAUGUCAUCUUGAUUUGACAGGAUAAUCCUGAGUUUAUAGAAUUUCAUCACAGUGUGUGAAACUGGUUUUUAACUUCACUAUACUGGCCCUCAGCGGUGGAGUCAACUGGGCACUGAAUAGAAAAAUCUCCCUCCUCCGUGUUGUCCCCAGCCCACCACAUUUCGCCCUAAGCUCUGCCCUGCACCAACACCAGCCUUCUUCUGGAGUUUGGCAGCUGUGGCAACUGCUGGCUGUCUCUCAACCACUUCACAAUAUGUAUCAAUGUAUUCUACAAAUCAUUGUAUUUGCCAAGCAUUCUACUACUACACAGUUCUGAUUCAACUGACGUGUAUCUUAGAGGUCAAUAUAUUUUCUUUUUCCCUUAGCUUGGCUAGGACUCCAUAGGAAACAGCUAUUUGAGUGAUGAUAUAUAGGAGAAGGAUAGUACUGUAUUUAACUGUCUGUUAAUAUCAGAGAAGAUGAAUAUUUUUCACCUCCCUGUACAUAGCUAUGCAUAAGCUUGGUAUUCAUUUAUGAACAAUGUAGCAUUUUCAAAGGCACAACUGAUUUACUUACAUUAAGUCAAUAUAAAUAAAUUAUGUUAGUAGAUUGCGAAUUUUGAAAGUUGUAAUCAACAUCAAAAAUGAAAUGUCUUGGUUGUCCAACUUAAAUUAUAUAAUGCAAUUUCAACACAGUAAAAAAAAAAUCACCUAGCGUAAUAGUGAGAGUUUGAAUCAUUAUUAGUUAGAUUCUUGUUUGUAUUAAUUAAGAAUUUCACAGACAUUGUUUGUAAGUGAAAAAGAUAUUUUAAAUAAGUAUUUAGAACAAUUUUUGUUUUGUGAUCCUUCAUGCUGCCUGUUGAAUGAGUUAAGCAAAAAAGAAUUACAAAUGGUUUAAACAGAAAAGGAUUGGCAAAUAAAUAAACUAGAGUUGUGCUGGAGAAAAGUGCAAAACCCUUGACUCAUUUUAAAGAUAUUUUAAAUAAAAUAUUAGUGAUCAUUUAAAUUAAUAAACAGUUCUAAGUUUAAAAAAAUCAGGAAAACUUUAAUUACAUUGAAAAUUACCAAUGUGUCCUGUGUUCUACCAAAGUUUAGAAAAUUCUAUUUACAAUUAGAUGACCUUGGAGAUUGAGAUUAAAAAGGUGAGUUAGUUCCCAGUCCAUAUUUAACAUUUUUUUUUGUACAGAAUCCCAUUAUUAUUUUCUCCCUUAGAAAAAAUUAGAAGCUAAGUUAUGCUAUGUUUAGGACAGAUAUGACUCUGUUUUGGCAGGUAAUGGAUGUCAGGAAUGAUUUUCUAAUGGCUAGUACAAUGUUUUGGGGUUUUUUAUUUUUUAAUAUUAUUUUGUAAUUGACAAAUAACAAUUGUACAACAGCACAAUGUUUGGUUGUGAUUUCUACUACUGUCAAAUGUUGUCUUCUGGUGACUAGACCUUUCGCUUUUUGACUGUGUUUAAGCUGGAAGCCCUAAAGCCACUGCAGGGUCAAGCGUCCCCAGUGCAGUGAUGGUCAUGGGGCCGUCACUACCCACUGAAAGCUGGGAGAGGACAGCCCUGGCGGGGUCUGCAGUGAUGGUCACAGGGCCGUCACUACCCACUGAAAGCUGGGAGAGGACAGCCCUGGCGGGGUCAACUCCCCCCCGAUGCAGUGAUGGUCACGGGGCCGUCACUACCCACUGAAAGCUGGGGGAAGACAGCCCUGGCGGGGCCAAGGAGCUUGCAGUGUCCCAUCAACCCUCCUGGAGAGAUGCCUGAGACCCGGUUUUACCUAUGAGUCUGGCCUCAGGACAGGAAAGAUGGGGACACGCACAGCUGAGGCAAGAGCCAUGACAGGGCAUCUGCUGUCAGCCACAUCCACCCCAGAGGGAAGCAUGCCCUUACCCCAGAGGUGAGGACACAGAGAUCCAGAGGCGGCGCUGGUGCCCUUCACUGGGGCCACACCACAGGGCCUUUCCUUCCUUUGUCAACCUUGCUCUGUGGGCCAGGGGAGCUCACUCAACCUCACUCUCUUUAAACCCUUCAUGCCAACCCAGAAUCUGGCUCUGCUCAUCCUUGCUACGCUAGAGUGGGCUUUACUGUUACUCAGAGGCUGACAAAAAUACUUGAGAAGAGUCACUUCCAGCACGACAGAAGGAGGAGGCUGACAAAUCAUCUUACCUAAAAGCAACUAUUAUGCCGGACAAAAGUGUCAAAAUAAUCCUUAUGGCACUCCCGAAAAUGGCCAAGUCUCUGGCUCAGCUCUGGCACUGAAGGUGGUCAGCCCAGACAAGGCAGGCACUGCAGAGGGGCUCACUGAUUCUGAGUGUGGUCGGUGAAAGUGGUGGUCCUGGGGGCAAGCAGACAGGGAAGGUGGCAGCUCCACCACCUGGGGCCGUGGUCAGUCACAUUCAGGCAAGCAGCAGGCUGACAGGUCCUUCCUUCCUGCCUGCCUUCCUUCCUUCCUUUUUUCCUUCCUUCCUUUUUUCCUUCCUUCCUUUUUUCCCUCCUUCCUUCCUUCCUUCCUCCUUUCUUCCUUCCUCCCUCCCUUUACAUUACAG
rnacentral:lncRNA from 1 species